GGAUAGGUGGCCGAGCGGUUUAAGGCACUAGUCUUGAAAACUGGCGUACGGGGCAACCGUACCGUGGGUUCGAAUCCCACCCUAUCCGCCA
rnacentral:tRNA from 1 species